rnacentral:rRNA from 1 species
GGGUCAGUAGGUUGGUCGUGCCACCGGUACGUACUGGUCUCACUGAUUCCUCCUUCCUGAAGAACCGUAAUGCCAUUAAUUUGGUGUUGCGGGGAAACAGGACUGUUACUUUGAAAAAAUUAGAGUGUUUAAAGCAAGCUAACGCUUGAAUACAUUAGCAUGGAAUAAAGAAAUAGGACGAUCGAUCCUAUUUUGUUGGUUUCUAGGAUUGACGUA